ACUCAGUUCUCCUUAAAGAAGUUAGGGGUAAACAAUAUCUCCGGUAUUGAAGAGGUGAAUAUGUUUACAAACCAAGGAACAGUGAUCCACUUUAACAACCCUAAAGUUCAGGCAUCUCUGGCAGCGAACACUUUCACCAUUACAGGCCAUGCUGAGACGAAGCAGCUGACAGAAAUGCUACCCAGCAUCUUAAACCAGCUUGGCGCAGAUAGUCUGACUAGUUUAAGGAGACUGGCCGAAGCUCUGCCCAAACAAUCUGUGGAUGGAAAAGCACCACUUGCUACUGGAGAGGAUGACGAUGAUGAAGUUCCAGAUCUUGUGGAGAAUUUUGAUGAGGCUUCCAAGAAUGAGGCAAACUGAAUUGAGUCAACUUCUGAAGAUAAAACUUGAAGAAGUUACUGGGAGCUGCUAUUUUAUAUUAUGACUGCUUUUUAAGAAAUUUUUAUGGAUCUGAUAAAAUCUAGAUCUCUAAUAUUUUUAAGCCCAAGCCCCUUGGACACUGCAGCUCUUUUCAGUUUUUGCUUAUACACAAUUCAUUCUUUGCAGCUAAUUAAGCCGAAGAAGCCUGGGAAUCAAGUUUGAAACAAAGGUUAAUAAAGUUCUUUGCCUAGUAAAAAAAAAAAAAAAAAAAAAAAAAA